rnacentral:rRNA from 1 species
CAGCAGCCGCGGUAAUACGUAGGGUGCGAGUGUUAAUCGGAAUUACUGGGCGUAAAGCGUGCGCAGGCGGUUAUGUAAGACAGGUGUGAAAUCCCCGGGCUUAACCUGGGAACUGCGCUUGUGACUGCACAGCUAGAGUAUGGCAGAGGGGGGUGGAAUUCCACGUGUAGCAGUGAAAUGCGUAGAGAUGUGGAGGAACACCGAUGGCGAAGGCAGCCCCCUGGGCCAAUACUGACGCUCAUGCACGAAAGCGUGGGGAGCAAACAGGAUUAGAUACCCGUGUAGUCCCUGUCUCUUAUAA